CCCUUAGAUGUCCGGGGCCGCACGCGCGCUACACUGACCAGUGCAACAAGCAUCCGUCCUUGGCCGACAGGCCCGGGCAAUCUUUGAACGCUGGUCGUGAUGGGGAUAGACUUUUGCAAUUUUUGGUCUUCAACGAGGAAUUCCUAGUAAACGCAAGUCAUCAACUUGCAUUGAUUACGUCCCUGCCCUUUGUACACACCGCCCGUCGCACCUACCGAUUGAAUGGUCCGGUGAAGCCUCCGGAUUGGCGCGCACCUCGGUGCCGCCGAGAAGUUGGCUAAACCUUACCAUUUAGAGGAAGGUGAAGUCGUAACA
rnacentral:rRNA from 1 species